GAUGAACGCUGGCGGCGUGCCUAAUACAUGCAAGUCGAGCGAACAGACGAGGAGCUUGCUCCUCUGACGUUAGCGGCGGACGGGUGAGUAACACGUGGAUAACCUACCUAUAAGACUGGGAUAACUUCGGGAAACCGGAGCUAAUACCGGAUAACAUGUUGAACCGCAUGGUUCAACAGUGAAAGACGGUCUUGCUGUCACUUAUAGAUGGAUCCGCGCCGCAUUAGCUAGUUGGUAAGGUAACGGCUUACCAAGGCAACGAUGCGUAGCCGACCUGAGAGGGUGAUAGGCCACACUGGAACUGAGACACGGUCCAGACUCCUAAGGGAGGCAGCAGUAGGGAAUCUUCCGCAAUGGGCGAAAGCCUGACGGAGCAACGCCGCGUGAGUGAAGAAGGUCUUCGGAUCGUAAAACUCUGUUAUUAGGGAAGAACAAAUGUGUAAGUAACUAUGCACGUCUUGACGGUACCUAAUCAGAAAGCCACGGCUAACUACGUG
rnacentral:rRNA from 1 species